UAGAAGUUCAAAAUGUAAACAAAGCGUUUGUUUACAUUACGGACUUUACAGCAUCUUUAAAAAAGAUCCUAGUCGCGAAAAGCGAAAUUAUAUUACAUGGCAUAUCAUAAUGCUCGGCCAUAUGACCUUAUAUAAAAAUCUUACGAAGACUAAUGAUCAGGUUCAUUCCCAGAUCUAGGAUGAAAGUAAUCAUAGUAACCCCCUCUCCUCCCCC